rnacentral:sRNA from 1 species
ACAGGACAUGGUAAUGCAUGUUUUGUAGUUCCUGCCACUAGGGAUGCUGAGGCUGGUUGGUGGAUCUCUUGAGCUUAGGAGUUCUGAGCUGCAGUGAGCUAAGCAGAUUAGGUACAUGCACUAAGUCUGACUCUAAUAUAGUGAGCCCCUGGGCGCAGAGGGACACCAGGUUGCCUAAGAAAGAGUAAGGGUCAACUGUCCCAGGUCAGAAAUAGAGCCAGUCAAAGUUCUGGAGCCAAUCAAUAAACCUUGGCAUAGUGAUUGCAUUUACAGGCUGAGUUCUGUAGGGAGACUCAGUUUUU